CGAACGCUGGCGGCGUGCUUAACACAUGCAAGUCGAGCGGUGAGGCCCUUCGGGGUACACGAGCGGCGAACGGGUGAGUAACACGUGAGCAAUCUGCCCUUCACAUCGGGAUAACCCCCGGAAACGGGAGCUAAUACCGGAUACGACCACUUCAGGCAUCUGAUGGUGGUGGAAAGUUCUGGCGGUGAAGGAUGAGCUCGCGGCCUAUCAGCUUGUUGGUGAGGUAACGGCCCACCAAGGCUUCGACGGGUAGCCGGCCUGAGAGGGUGACCGGCCACACUGGGACUGAGACACGGCCCAGACUCCUACGGGAGGCAGCAGUGGGGAAUAUUGGACAAUGGGCGAAAGCCUGAUCCAGCAACGCCGCGUGAGGGAUGACGGCCUUCGGGUUGUAAACCUCUUUCAGCGCAGACGAAGCGAAAGUGACGGUAUGCGCAGAAGAAGCACCGGCCAACUACGU
rnacentral:rRNA from 1 species